GAAAGGGAUACUUCUUCGGACAAUAUACAAGGUGCUGCAUGGUUGUCGUCAGCUCGUGCCGUGAGGUGUCGGGUUAAGUCCCAUAACGAGCGCAACCCUUGUCCUUAGUUACCAGCACGUUAUGGUGGGCACUCUAAGGAGACUGCCGGUGACAAACCGGAGGAAGGUGGGGAUGACGUCAAGUCAUCAUGGCCCUUACGGCCUGGGCUACACACGUGCUACAAUGGUCGGUACAAAGGGUUGCCAAGCCGCGAGGUGGAGCUAAUCCCAUAAAACCGAUCGUAGUCCGGAUCGCAGUCUGCAACUCGACUGCGUGAAGUCGGAAUCGCUAGUAAUCGUGAAUCAGAAUGUCACGGUGAAUACGUUCCCGGGCCUU
rnacentral:rRNA from 1 species